GAUGAACGCUGGCGGCGUGCCUAAUACAUGCAAGUCGAGCGAACGGACGAGAAGCUUGCUUCUCUGAUGUUAGCGGCGGACGGGUGAGUAACACGUGGAUAACCUACCUAUAAGACUGGGAUAACUUCGGGAAACCGUAGCUAAUACCGGAUAAUAUUUUGAACCGCAUGGUUCAAAAGUGAAAGACGGUCUUGCUGUCACUUAUAGAUGGAUCCGCGCUGCAUUAGCUAGUUGGUAAGGUAACGGCUUACCAAGGCAACGAUGCAUAGCCGACCUGAGAGGGUGAUCGGCCACACUGGAACUGAGACACGGUCCAGACUCCUACGGGAGGCAGCAGUAGGGUAUCUUCCGCAAAGGGCGAAAGCCUGACGGAGCAAAGCCGCGUGAGUGAUGAAGGUCUUCGGAUCGUAAAACUCUGUUAUUAGGGAAGAACAUAUGUGUAAGUAACUGUGCACAUCUUGACGGUACCUAAUCAGAAAGCCACGGCUAACUACGUG
rnacentral:rRNA from 1 species